rnacentral:rRNA from 1 species
AGUCGAGGGGCAGCGCGGGAUAGCAAUAUCCUGGCGGCGACCGGCGGAAGGGUGCGUAACGCGUGAGCGACAUGCCCGUUGCCCGGGGACAACCGGUGGAAACGCCGACUAAUCCCCGAUGGGAUAUUGUGCCGCAUGGCACGAUAUUGAAAGUUACGGCGGCGACGGAUUGGCUCGCGUCCGAUUAGCUUGUUGGCGGGGUAACGGCCCACCAAGGCUACGAUCGGUAGGGGUUCUGAGAGGAAGGCCCCCCACAAUGGGACUGAGACACGGCCCAUACUCCUACGGGAGGCAGCAGUGAGGAAUAUUGGUCAAUGGGCGGAAGCCUGAACCAGCCAUGCCGCGUGCGGGAAGGAGGCCCUAUGGGCUGUGAACCGCUUUUGCCUGGGGGCAAUAAGGGCGUCGCGCACGCCCGAUGAGAGUACCAGGCGAAUAAGCAUCGGCUAACUCCGUGCCAGCAGCCGCGGUAAUACGGGGGAUGCGAGCGUUAUCCGGAUUCAUUGGGUUUAAGGGGUGCGUAGGCUGUGCGUCAAGUCGGGGGUGAAAUUCCGGUGCUCAACACCGGGGCUGCCCUUGAUACUGUCGCGCUGGAGUGCGGAUGCCGCCGGAGGAAUGAGUGGUGUAGCGGUGAAAUGCUUAGAUAUCACUCAGAACACCGAUUGCGAAGGCAUCUGGCGAAUCCGUAACUGACGCUGAGGCACGAAAGCGUGGGGAUAGAA